rnacentral:rRNA from 1 species
GGGGAAUAUUGCACAAUGGGCGAGAGCCUGAUGCAGCGACGCCGCGUGAAGGAUGAAGUAUUUCGGUAUGUAAACUUCUAUCAGCAGGGAAGAAAAUGACGGUACCUGACUAAGAAGCCCCGGCUAACUACGUGCCAGCAGCCGCGGUAAUACGUAGGGGGCAAGCGUUAUCCGGAUUUACUGGGUGUAAAGGGAGCGUAGACGGCUGUGCAAGUCUGAAGUGAAAGGUAUGGGCUCAACCUGUGGACUGCUUUGGAAACUGUGCAGCUAGAGUGUCGGAGAGGUAAGUGGAAUUCCUAGUGUAGCGGUGAAAUGCGUAGAUAUUAGGAGGAACACCAGUGGCGAAGGCGGCUUACUGGACGAUGACUGACGUUGAGGCUCGAAAGCGUGGGGAGCAAAC